rnacentral:lncRNA from 1 species
GUGAUGUGUCUGCAACUCAUCGUAGUACAUCAGUGUGAAGAUGGGUGCAAUACUGCUGUUUGACUUUAGAAGCCUGGAUGUGUAGGUAUUCAGUCUGCAAGUCAUGGUAACGCAUCCUACCCCAGCAGCUUACUUACAGUAUUUGCUUUGUGACCGCUUUGUCCCCGUAGGCCUCGAAGAAAUGCUGAAGGACUCGGUGGCCUCUGCAGUUCAACCAGAUGAAGAGCACCUUGAAGCAUCUGCGCGUCGUCGCCUCUGCCUGUCAGCGUGGUGUACAGUAAUUGCUUUAGUGUUCUCUCUCAGACCGCACCAACAGUCUAUUGCAGAUGUGGAGGUAAUGUAAAACCUUGUGAAACUGUAGGUAUUUAACUUGUGUUUUUCUGGUGUUUUUUUUUAAAUGCAGAAAUUGUUUUGAAAUGUCAGAAGACUUGUUUUAGGUUUGGCGAACACUCAAGUAGAGCGUUUUGCCCUGUCUCCGGAACCCCAAUGGACAGGAUUUCAAAUGACUCUCCGAGUUGGAAAUCUCACCAAGACUUUGGCUCCGGAUGGAUUCGGCGUGCACCAACGUGCCCUGACUGUUUGACUGACUGAGGGUCUGGGUGGUAUUGUGUUGUGCAAUGUAGGGUCAAGGUUGUGGAUGUUGUAGCUUAGAUCCUAGAAUGCCGGCAUGUUGUUAGUUGGAGUUGAGCUUGUGGAUUAGUCGAUUAGUUUUGUGGGGGUUGAGGUGUGGUUUGGGUGACUUGACCGGGACUAAGAGCACACACAACAACCAAAAAAGGAGCAAGGAACGCCAAAUGUGUCGCACAACAGGCACCAAGGAUUUCUCAAUGUAACAUAUGCAUGGAAACGGUUACAGCAAGGAGACAUUGUGAACAAAUGAAAUACAAACAUACUCGGUGUUGGAACAGAGCAGCACAUGACUGCUAAAGUAAAGAGCAAGGAUGGAAAAACGCACAGUCGCAACAACAAAUGAGCAAUGCUAUCAGCAAACACAUUCAAACCCGGAUCAAAGCUGUGGACAACUGGGAAAUCAAUCAGUGGCAUUUCAAACCAACAAUGUCACUGCAAUGUUUUAAUCAAGUACUUGCACAAGGGAAUUGUGGAAAUGCAAGUAUGGGUUCUGUGACCAACAUGAUAUUCAAAUGUGCUGGGGUGCUGGUUUUUUUGGAAUUUCAGCACUUUCAGAAUGGUCCCUUUAUACCAAU